UACAGAGGUCCCAAGCGUUGUUCGGAUUCACUGGGCGUAAAGGGUGCGCAGGUGGGUUGGCAAGUUUGAUGUGAAAGCCCCGGGCUUAACCCGGGAAUGGCAUUGAAUACUGCUGAUCUGGAGGAUCGGAGGGGGGACUGGAAUUCUUGGUGUAGCAGUGAAAUGCGUAGAGAUGCGGAGGAACACCGAUGGCGAAGGCAGCCCCCUGGGCUAACACUGACGCUCAGGCACGAAAGCGUGGGGAGCAAACAGG
rnacentral:rRNA from 1 species